AGAGUUUGAUCCUGGCUCAGAUUGAACGCUGGCGGCAUGCCUUACACAUGCAAGUCGAACGGCAGCACGAGAGCUUGCUCUUGGUGGCGAGUGGCGAACGGGUGAGUAAUAUAUCGGAACGUACCCUAGAGUGGGGGAUAACGUAGCGAAAGUUACGCUAAUACCGCAUACGAUCUACGGAUGAAAGUGGGGGAUCGCAAGACCUCAUGCUCAUGGAGCGGCCGAUAUCUGAUUAGCUAGUUGGUGGGGUAAAAGCUCACCAAGGCGACGAUCAGUAGCUGGUCUGAGAGGACGACCAGCCACACUGGAACUGAGACACGGUCCAGACUCCUACGGGAGGCAGCAGUGGGGAAUUUUGGACAAUGGGCGCAAGCCUGAUCCAGCAAUGCCGCGUGAGUGAAGAAGGCCUUCGGGUUGUAAAGCUCUUUUGUCAGGGAAGAAACGGUGGACUCUAAUACAGAUCACUAAUGACGGUACCUGAAGAAUAAGCACCGGCUAACUACGUGCCAGCAGCCGCGGUAAUACGUAGGGUGCAAGCGUUAAUCGGAAUUACUGGGCGUAAAGCGUGCGCAGGCGGUUGUGCAAGACAGAUGUGAAAUCCCCGGGCUCAACCUGGGAAUUGCAUUUGUGACUGCACGGCUAGAGUGUGUCAGAGGGGGGUAGAAUUCCACGUGUAGCAGUGAAAUGCGUAGAGAUGUGGAGGAAUACCGAUGGCGAAGGCAGCCCCCUGGGAUAACACUGACGCUCAUGCACGAAAGCGUGGGGAGCAAACAGGAUUAGAUACCCUGGUAGUCCACGCCCUAAACGAUGUCUACUAGUUGUCGGGUCUUAAUUGACUUGGUAACGCAGCUAACGCGUGAAGUAGACCGCCUGGGGAGUACGGUCGCAGGAUUAAAACUCAAAGGAAUUGACGGGGACCCGCACAAGCGGUGGAUGAUGUGGAUUAAUUCGAUGCAACGCGAAAAACCUUACCUACCCUUGACAUGUCUGGAAUCCUUGAGAGAUCAGGGAGUGCUCGAAAGAGAAUCAGAACACAGGUGCUGCAUGGCUGUCGUCAGCUCGUGUCGUGAGAUGUUGGGUUAAGUCCCGCAACGAGCGCAACCCUUGUCAUUAGUUGCUACGAAAGGGCACUCUAAUGAGACUGCCGGUGACAAACCGGAGGAAGGUGGGGAUGACGUCAAGUCCUCAUGGCCCUUAUGGGUAGGGCUUCACACGUCAUACAAUGGUACAUACAGAGGGCCGCCAACCCGCGAGGGGGAGCUAAUCCCAGAAAGUGUAUCGUAGUCCGGAUUGUAGUCUGCAACUCGACUACAUGAAGUUGGAAUCGCUAGUAAUCGCGGAUCAGCAUGUCGCGGUGAAUACGUUCCCGGGUCUUGUACACACCGCCCGUCACACCAUGGGAGCGGGUUUCACCAGAAGUGGGUAGCCUAACCGCAAGGAGGGCGCUCACCACGGUGGGAUUCGUGACUGGGGUGAAGUCGUAACAAGGUA
rnacentral:rRNA from 1 species